rnacentral:lncRNA from 1 species
GCUUGUGAUGGUUAAUAAUGAGUGUCAACUUGAUUGGAUUGAAGGAUGUAAAGUAUUCAUCCUGGGUGUGUCUGUGAGGGUGUUGCCAAAACAAGAUUAACAUGUGAGUCAGUGGGCUGGGAAAGGCAGACCCACCCUUAAUCUGUGUGGGCACAAUCCAAUCAGCUGCCAACCCAGCCAUACUAUAAGCAGGCAGAAAAAUGUGAAAAGAGACGGGCCUCGCCUCCCAGCCUACAUCUUUCUCCCAUGCUGGAUGCUUCUUGCCCUCAAACAUGGACUCCAAGUUCUUCAGUUUUGGAACUCUGGCUGGCUCUUUUUGCUCCUCAUCCAGCAGAUGGCCUAUUGUGAGACUUGGUGAUUGUAUAAACACAAUCUGGGAAACAUUUUAUAAUACAGAGGGCCACACCAGAUUGAAUAUUGCCCCCAGGAAUGAAAUGAAAACAGGAAUGGAUUCUCCAGUAAGAGGGUAUCACAGGGCA